GAGGGAAGUUUGAUUAUGGCUUUCUAGUUUAUUCUUUAAAGGGUACUUCAUAAUAUUUUUAGAUAAUUGGUUAAUAUUUAUUAAUACGAGAUUAGUGGUUAUAAUUGGAAAACAUAAUAAUAUAUAGUCCAGUCCUUUAUAAGUAUGGGGGUAAAUAUGAAUGCCAGCCACCGCGGUCAUAUUCAAUCCAUGUUAAAUUUGAGCGGAUAGAUUAGAGUUGGAAACAAAGAAAAAAUUAUAAAGUGAAUAAAAGUGUAACGAGUGUUUAUUUUAAUAUUCUUAAGCUUUCUGUAAAACUUCUUAUGUAGCUAGUAACAAAAACCGGGAUUGGAUACCCCGUUAUUAUUAGUGUAAAUUGGAAAUUCUACUUUACUAAACAUUAAAUUGUCAAAAAGAAAUAAAUAGGCGGUGUUCGAUUUAAAAAAUAGGGGAACCUGGGUAAUAAAGGAUGAUCCACCUGAAUUAUGCCUUUCCUUACUGCUUGUGUAUGGUUGUUUCCUCUAAAUUGAAAGGUUUAGGGUAAAUUCCUUAAAAGCUUAAGAAAUAAUUCAGAUUCUCAUGCUGCUGUGGAAGGGUUAUUCUGGGUUACAUUAGAGCAUAUUCAUUUUUAAAGUCCGACGUAGACAGAAGAAAUUUGUUAUGAAAGAAGGACUUGUAAGUAAGAUAAUUAUAUAAAAGUUGUCUGAAUAUUUUCGGAUGAGUACUAAUCGCCCGUCGCUUGCGGAGAUGAUCUGUGAUAAGUCGUAACAAAGUAGCUGUACUGGAAAGUGUAGCUAAACUAUA
rnacentral:ncRNA from 1 species